GACAGAGGUGCCAAGCGUUAGGCGGAAUCACUGGGCUUAAAGCGUGUGUAGGCGGAAUUGUAAGUACCUUGUGAAAUCCCACGGCUCAACCGUGGAACUGCUCGGUAUACUGCUUUUCUUGAGCCACUUAGGGGCUGUCGGAACAAACGGUGUAGCGGUGAAAUGCGUAGAUAUCGUAAGGAAGACCAGUGGCGAAGGCGGGUCUCUGGACAGUUCCUGACGCUGAGGCACGAAGGCCAGGGGAGCAAACGGG
rnacentral:rRNA from 1 species